rnacentral:lncRNA from 1 species
ACGGCUGCGUGGUGUUUAGCUGCCGGCUGGGUUAAACCACGACAGUCUUUUUGGCGCCCAACGUGGGGCCCGAAAGGUUGAGAUAACGGCAGAUCUGACCAGAGUGUGUUAAACUAAAAUUGGUGUAAGGAUUAGACCUGCUUAAUAGUCACUUGUCAUAAUGCUGAUUGCUUUAAUCUCAACUCUGCUGCGCCUGUUUUCCAAAUUGAGUAUUAUAGUACAUUAUUUUCCGUAUUUGCUCUCUGUCGUGUUGUUUAUCCUCUCCGGGUCCUGGUUUCAGAUCAUUAUGGUACUGUGUGUUGUAGCAAUGGCUUAUGAGACGAUGAAAUAUGUGGUCAUGACUCUAACUUGUUAUUUGUAUUCAGUAACAUCGUCGACUCUGUACUUUGGAAACUGUAUCUUGCAAACUAUUAGCAAUUAUACCUAUUGUUUUUUUCCAUUAGGGAGUCAAUCUGUGGAGGGGAAAGGGGAAGAUACUUUUUCUUACUUGCUUACUCUCCCUUUCUCCUUCACCACCCCUGUAUCCUCCUGGAUCACUCUGCCUUCCUCCUUCACCACCCUCUUAUCCCCUGAGCUUGUCACAAUAGCUCUCCAAGAUAUUGAAUACUUCUGGGAUACUCAGAAUACCAUAGUCUUGUUGUUCUGCCUCAUGAAUGCACUUCAGGUUCUGCUUAAAGUUAAACAACUACUUGGGAAGCUCAUCCGGAGAUCUACCCGGAGGCAGUAUAGUUGUGGGUGGCAGGGAGUAUGGGUGGAUAUGGGCAGGCAUCUAGAGCAGUUGGCACCCCCAGUGUUUUGGAAAUUCACCCCUGAACAAUGGCAAAAUCCUCAAAAACUGGCAGAAUGCUUGAAAAAAAGGUGUCAUGAUUCUGGCAGUUCCAAAGUGACACAAAUCAUUGUAACGUGCUGGGGCCUGGCUCAUGCCUAUCGAGCUGCCAUUGAUACUGCUAUCAACUUAGUGACAGACCCUGCGGCCACUCCAAGCCCUGUGACAGAUCCAACGGCCACUGUGACCCCUACGGUGGAUUCUGCAGCCGCUCCAGCUCCAGCUCCUGCAGCCACUCCAGAUCCGGUUCCUGCAGCCGCUCCAGUCCCAGCUCCUGCAGCCGCUCCAGUCCCAGCUCCUGCAGCCGCUCCAGUCCCAGCACCUGCAGCCGCUCCAGUCCCAGCACCUGCAGCCGCUCCAGUCCCAGCUCCUGCAGCCGCUCCAGCUCCAGCUCCUGCAGCCGCUCCAGCUCCAGCUCCUGCACCCGCUCCAGUUCCAGCUCCGGCUGCUACUCCAGUCCCAGUUCCUGCAACUGCUCCAGCUCCAGCUCCUGCAGCCGCUCCAGCUCCAGCUCCUGCUCCUGCUGCAGCUCCAGUCCCAGCUCCUGCAACUGCUCCAGCUCCAGCUCCUGUAGCCGCUACAGCUCCAGUUCCUGCAACUGCUCCAGCUCCUGCAGCCGCUCCAGCUCCUGUGGCCGUGUCAGAGAAACGAGCUGUAGCAGUGCUAGUUGACCCUGCAGAGGGUAUUUCAAGCCCUGUAACGGCGUCAGAGAAACGAGCUGUAGCAGUGCAAGUUGACCCUGCAGAGGGUAUUCCAACCUCUGUGGCAGACCCUGUAACAAAGUCAGAGAAACGAGCAGU